GCAUACUAGCUCUUUAUUAUAUAAGACUGAACGACACAGAGAAGGUUAGCAUGGCCCCUACGCAAGGAUGACGUGCAAUUUCAUGAAGCAAAUUCCAUAUUU